GACGGAGGAGGCGAGCGUUAUCCGGAAUUAUUGGGCGUAAAGCGUCCGCAGGCGGCUUUUUAAGUCUGUUGUCAAAGCCCACAGCUCAACUGUGGAUCGGCAAUGGAAACUGGGAAGCUAGAGUGUGGUAGGGGUAGAGGGAAUUCCCGGUGUAGCGGUGAAAUGCGUAGAGAUCAGGAAGAACACCGGUGGCGAAAGCGCUCUGCUGGACCUUAACUGACACUGAGGGACGAAAGCUAGGGGAGCGAAUGGG
rnacentral:rRNA from 1 species